UCCUCUGUAGCUCAGUCGGUUAGAGCCUCAUGCUUAUACUCUCAAAUUGACUUUUCUCGCCAGGGUGAGCCAAAUGAGACGUGAUGGUCGCGAGUUCGACCCUCGCCAGAGGAA
rnacentral:tRNA from 1 species